rnacentral:rRNA from 1 species
AAUAUUAAAUAGCCGCGGAAAUUUAACCGUGCUAAGGUAGCAUAAUCAUUAGCCUCUUAAUUAGAGGCUUGUAUGAAUGGUGAAACAUUUCAAUUUCUCUUUUAAUUAAUUUAUUUAAAAUUAAACUAAAGGUAAAAAUGCCUUUAUUUUUUAAAUAGACGAUAAGACCCUUUUGAACUUUACUUCAGUUUAGCUGGGGCAGCUAAAUAAUAAUAAUCUUAUUUUUUAAAAUUCCAUAAAUGACCCAAUAUAAUUGAUUAUAUGAACAAGUUACCAUAGGGAUAACAGCGUAAUAUUUUUCUAAAGCUCUUAUUUAAAAAAAGGAUUACGACCUCGAUGUUGAAUUAAUGUUACUUUUAAAUGCAGAAAUUUAAAAAGUAGGUCUGUUCGACCUUUAAAACAUUACAUGAUCUGA